CCUACGUGAGUCAGCAGUGCGGAAUAUUGGUCAAUGGGCGAGAGCCUGAACCAGCAAAGUAGCGUGAAGGAUGCCUGCCCUACGGUUUGUCAACUUCUUUUAUAAAGGAAUAAAGUGAGGCACGUGUGCCUUCUUGUCUGUACUUUAUUAAUUAAGAUCGUCUCACUCCGUUCCAGCCGCCGCGGUAAUACGGAGGGUCCGAGCGUUCUCUGGAUUUAUUUGGUUUACAGGGAGUGUAGAUGGGUUGUUAAGUCAGUUGUGAAAGUUUGCGGCUCAACAGUAAAAUUGCAAUUGAUACUGGCAGCCUUGAGUACAGUUGAGGUAGGCGGAAUUCGUGGUGUAGCGGUGAAAUGCUUAGAUAUCACGAAGAACUCCGAUUGCGAAGGCAGCUUACUAAACUGCCACUGACAUUGAUGCUCGAAAGUGUGGGUAUCAAACAGGAUGAGAUACCCUGGUAGUC
rnacentral:rRNA from 1 species